GUGAAAUUUGAAAAGAGCUUGGAAGUUCUGUACUAUUUCCAGAAUGCACCGCCUCUUUACUUGGGCCUCGAUUACGAAAUGUAUGCUGUAAAUACUGAACAUCCUAGGAAAUGACAUCAGACUCUUCUGCAAUCCCUUCCGCACACCACUCUCGGGGAUCCCACGAAGAAUCGAGACUUGCCAGCUGGAGGCGCAGUGCUGGCUGGGGCAGGAGCAGACCCAGGCCUGAUAAAGGACAGGAAUCCUGAGGGCGUGGAUACGAAGAGCAGGCCCGAGUUCCAUCAAGCAUUCAGAAACUGCUGAGGAGGAUGGAGACAGGUUCCAAGUUCAAAGAGCAAAAAAUUU
rnacentral:lncRNA from 1 species